CCUACGGGUGGCAGCAGUGGGGAAUAUUGCACAAUGGGCGCAAGCCUGAUGCAGCCAUGCCGCGUGUAUGAAGAAGGCCUUCGGGUUGUAAAGUACUUUCAGUCGUGAGGAAGGUGUUAAGGUUAAUAACCUUAGCAAUUGACGUUAGCGACAGAAGAAGCACCGGCUAACUCCGUGCCAGCAGCCGCGGUAAUACGGAGGGUGCGAGCGUUAAUCGGAAUUACUGGGAGUAAAGGGCACGCAGGCGGUUAAGUAAGUUAAAGUUGAGAUCCCCAAGCUUACCCUGGAAAUGGCAUUCAAGACUGGUUAGCUAGAGGCUUGUAGAGGGGGGAAGAAUUGCAUGUGUAGCGGUGAAAUGCGUAGGGAUGUGAAGGAAUACCGAUGGCGAAGACGGCCCCCUGGACAAAGACUGACGCUCAUCAGAGAAAGCGUGGGAAACAAACAGGAUUAUAUACCGUGGUAGUC
rnacentral:rRNA from 1 species